ACCACUGUAUAUACCUUAUCAAUGAAUAUUUUGAAAUUAUUUACUUGCUUUAUUUCCUUUAUUGCAGGCUAGUUCAACCCGCGGCCCCCGGGCCGCAUGCGGUCCAGGUCGGCUCGUAAUGCAGCCCAGUGCGGCCCAGUGCAAUGCAACCACAAGGAUGCUUCUGAGUCAUUGUCGUCAUCAUCCUCAUCAUCCAUCUAGCAGCUGAGUGCCUGUCCCUUCGCCCAGUGCUGAGCUCAUCUGAGGCAGGCGCAUCAUAACCGCAGCCACUGCGUGACACAACCUUUCUGCCCCCCUCGGCUGGCCGCUUCUUCCUGUCCGAGCCCCUGAGGCUGUUUGGAAGCCGGAACGAGGCCAAGCUGCUGCCUCACAUUACUCUCAAGUAUGUUGUCUAUCUUAGGAUCGAACAGACCUGUCCAAUCAAAAGGAAAAAGGGAAACAAUACAGAUGCUUGAUGAACCGGUGUUUGAGAGAUUCCAGUUCCCACGUGAGGAGCUCCAGAAAAAGAGACCUACUGCAGCAGCGGAAGAAAUGGAACUGAGAUAUUGGCCACAAUUACGUUGAGUUAAUUACACCUAUGUAAAAGUGAUGACACCACCAGCAGGCAGAGGUUGUAAGUUAUUAAAGAGCUCCUGAUUCAAUCCCAGAGGUCAUUGGAGAUGCUUGCAAUGAGACUGAUCACAGGUGAAUCAGCGAGAUCAAACAGAAACUUUUUUAUCACCAGCAAGCUCUCCCUUGAUGUUACCAUCAUUGUCUUUACAAUUUAUUUAAAGGAUUUCGGCCACUAGCCAACUGAUAGCUCUAACUGGAGACCUACUAAAACACUUGGAUAUGGAUCCAUCAUUCAGCAGGUGAUUCAAUGUGUGAUCCAAUGUAUCUACAGUACUUAACGAUGAUGUUCCACUUAGCUUGUCUUUGAUAAAACACAUAAAAUAAACUGCUUUCACAU